CCUUCCUCAGCUCUGGGACUGAUUGUCUUCAAGCUGAGCACACACUGAGCACUGGGCCUGCCUUCUUCCUAACACAGGUAUAUCAAAGGGAAAAAUAGUAACAGUUCUGGUGGAGAGACCUGGUGAGCAACACCUUAAACCAAGUGAUGAAAGCUGAAAUCAGCAACACUGGGAUGAACCUGCAUCACGUAAUAGCGGAUGUGAUGCCCUGACAAGAGCACCAGUCCUGUUUGCAGCAUCACUGCCCCAGAUGCAUGCCUGAAUCUGUUCCUUAGGAUACAUCAGGAAACCCAAGCUGAGGAAUGUUCUACUAAAUAAAUGAUCUCUACUCUUCAAAAACAUGCGGGUCAAGUGACAGGUGCCGAGGAGAGGGAGAGGGUCUAGGAAGACCCUAGUUGGGACAAUUGGCAGCAUUCAAAUGUGGCCUGUGCAUUUCAUACUGGUACUGUUCAAUGUGAAAUUUCUUGAUUUUUGUAAGAUUCUCCCUGGGGCCUGAUAGCUUAAAGGGAUGAGUAACUCCUCCCUUCUCAGGCCCAGUCCCAAGGUGCAAGACCACUUGCAUCAGCAGCCUGUGCCAGCAAGAUAGCAGAAGCAGGAAGAGAGCCGGCCAGAAGACACGUACCCCUGAAGAUUGAGAAACAGGCCAUCCGGGUACAACGUAGCAAUUACGUCAGACUAGGACACUUCCUGUUUAAAGGAGACUAUAAAACCUUUGUCCUGUCCUCACUUGGGGCUGACGCCAUUUUAGGCCUCAGCCCGCCUGCACCCAGGCGCUCAUUAAAACAGCAUGUUGCUCCACA
rnacentral:lncRNA from 1 species